rnacentral:rRNA from 1 species
GACGAACGCUGGCGGCGUGCUUAACACAUGCAAGUCGAACGGUAAGGCCCUUCGGGGUACACGAGUGGCGAACGGGUGAGUAACACGUGGGUGAUCUGCCCUGCACUUCGGGAUAAGCCUGGGAAACUGGGUCUAAUACCGGAUAGGACCACUGCCUGCAUGGGUGGUGGUGGAAAGCUUUUGCGGUGUGGGAUGGGCCCGCGGCCUAUCAGCUUGUUGGUGGGGUGAUGGCCUACCAAGGCGACGACGGGUAGCCGGCCUGAGAGGGUGACCGGCCACACUGGGACUGAGAUACGGCCCAGACUCCUACGGGAGGCAGCAGUGGGGAAUAUUGCACAAUGGGCGCAAGCCUAAUGCAGCGACGCCGCGUGAGGGAUGACGGCCUUCGGGUUGUAAACCUCUUUCAGCACCGACGAAGCGCAAGUGACGGUACCUAAAGAAGAAGCACCGGCUAACUACGUGCCAGCAGCCGCCGUAA